ensembl:Y_RNA Y_RNA Y RNA
GGCUGGUCCAAAGGUGGUAAGUUAUCUCAGUUGAUCGUUCAGUCAGUUACAUACCCAACUCCUUCUUCUACUCUUUCUCCCCUCCUCAUGACUGUACUUGACUAGUCUUAA